GCGGCGAUCGAGUAGGCGAAAUGGCGCGCUCCAGCGUGUACCAUGUUAUGUUAUGUACUGUACUUAGUAUCCAUACGACCAUACUGCCUCCUGCCCUCCUCCCUCUCUUCACUUGCCCUGUGUGUGUCGGCCGGCAACCUGCCCCCCGCAACCUCGAGCUCCUCCUCUCCCGCAGCGGCGGCCUCAUGGCUCACCACACGACGUACGUCGAUCUCCACCAUGCAAACGGCUCCGGUGGGAUGCAUUUGCCAAAGGUACUCCGCUAUGGGAUGUUGAUCCGGUCCCUGGUGAACUGGUUGUUGGUUUAAAUGGAGACAUGUACUACAUACCACCCGGUGAUGCUCUGGUCUCCGCUUCAGGUGUCAUGGCAGAGACGCCAAAGACGUUGGGCUACAUCUUGGGGGAGGAAAUCUGGAGUUUUCUCAUGGGGUGGGAUGAACAAGAUCCUGUUGCCGAUACUCUCUUGAGCCCGCCGUCACAGGCGCUGGAUCUCCGGUGAGCUCUACGGUGAUUAUGUCCAACAGAACUACGGAAGGUGGUAGAAGGUUCAGUUCUACGUCCAGAUUAUAAAAUGUAUCCCACCUCUUAUCUAAUCUAUCCAUUUGAGAUCCGGUGGUUAUGUGGGAAAGUUUCAGAUUUGCACUGAACGGUGGUUUUCACCUGCUAAGUCACCAUGUGAAUGAUGAUAUGUGUUA